rnacentral:lncRNA from 1 species
GAACAUUGCAACUAUUAGGUACCAUUCAGAGUCAAUGCGGACCUGAACACACAACUGGCCACGGAGGGAGGCCCUUCAUAAACAGAUCUUGCUGAGUUUAAUCAGAAUCUGCCUCAUGCACAUAGACACAGAUCCUCUUAGAGAUGAAAAGGUUGUCUGUGCAUACUUACAUCAGGGUGUGGCUACACAUUGAAAUUCACUGGUCUUGAGAUCUUUCUGGUCCUAUAGGGUACUGAUGUAUGUAUAUCCUGGUCUAUUAAUCACACAUGCAAAAAGGAAUUUUAGCCUGCAGAGUUGGCAUUUCUUUUUAAGUUUGUUCUUGUUGUUUUUGGUUUUUUAACCAUGAUAAAAAACAUAAUGGAAGAAAUCACUAAGGUAUUAACAUCAACAGUCAAGAUGAUAAUCUGGUAAGUAUGCAAUAACAGCAGUAGCAGAGGAAGAAGGCUGGUGGUCACUCAUAGAACAAAGCAGGCGCCCUCAGGUGCAAGCCCUCUUUGCACUCUCCACAGUCUAUGGGAAGGAGAUGGGAAGGGAAUUGCACAUAAGCCAGACGAUUUCCAGGAAAACAGGCUUAACAGUUUGUAAAUAUAUAAAGCCUUUUGAGGACACAAAAUAAAGUGUGGUCUUUAAAGAAAAUAGGCUUAGUUACAGGAUGGGCAGACAGUGUUUUGAACACGGUUGGAUCAAAUGGUGAAGACCAUAUUUCAAAGAUGCAACUUCUGCGUGUUUAUGUCUAAGCAGCUUCUGGUCUUUAAAACUGUCUUUCAUACAAAUGUGAGAGAUGACAAACUUUAUUGGGGGUCCUGAAGCUUUUAGUAAGGGGGUGCCCACAAAAUUGAGGAAGAGUUUGAAGCUCACGGCUGCCAGAGUGAAACCUUGGGCUCUGGUAUUAGCUGCCUUGUACAUGGCUGAUUGGAACACAAAGGAAAAUAAUCUUGUAAGUUGUUGAUGAAAACAAGACUACUUGAAAUUUUAAUAUGAAAAACAUCCUUCAUUGUCUGGCCUAUCAAAUAUUUAAUGGUUCUAAACUUCAAGUUAUUCUGAGAACAAGAUAGGAUAAUAAUGUAUAAGUCACAAAAUUAAAAUUGUCAAGUGGGUGAUGUAUGAUGAAGUGUAUAAGCACAUGCACAGAAAAAAAUUAUACAACUUAAUUGACAUUAAUAAAUAAAUGAGGAGUUCCAGAAGAGUCUUUGUUGGCCUGUGACUAUGUUAGUCAACCUGAAAUCAAUCAAAAGGGCAACUGGACAUUCCAAUCUCUGGUGGGGGUUAGGGGCUUGUUAAUAGCAAGCAGCUAGCAGUAGACACAGGGAAGAACACACACAUACGUUAACCCAAGCCAAAAAUAAAAUCAUCAAAAAA